AAUCCUAGAGAUUUCUAGACAAUUUGAGAGGGUUAGAAGUGAGAAGAACUUGAGGAAAAAUGGAAGAGAAAAAUCGGCCAAGGAGGGAGUAAAUCAACCCUCCAAAUUUCAUCCCCAAAAAUUAUAAUUUUCUAGUAUUCCUACUAAGUCAAGGGUGCUCUACAACAUGGUGUAGUUGUUUGGGAAGUUUGGAGACUUGUUUCAUUGAUUUGGAAGUGAAGAAGCUAGAAGAAAAAGGGGAGAUGCUGCCGAAAUUUUUGUAGACAAGUAUUGGAAAAAUUGAAUUCUUAAAGUCUUAUGAAUAGUAAUUGGUAAAUGUGACCAAUUGUAGAUUUUGGAGGAAACGGGAAUUGAAUUUGGACAACCGUAAAAUGUCAAAAAGGUACCGAAGUUUGACUUGCUGAUCCGCCGGUUUAGGACAUCUGCUGUGUUAUUGACAGUGCUCCCUUGUUCGGAGCUUGUAUUUUGGUACUGACUCUAUCUCUGUAUAUUUGGAUAUGUUGGUCAGGGGUACGAUGGGGCCCUGUCCCGUCUUAUGACUAUGCUAUCGUCUGUAGAGGUCUGUAGACAGAGUUAUGUUGUGGGUUUUGUAUAUAUGGUUUGAAUUUUUGUGUGUUUUGUGACAACCUUUCAACUCUCAUGCGUAUAUCUAC